rnacentral:ribozyme from 12 species
AGAAGAAAAGAAAGAGAAAAGAAAAAAAAAGAAGGCAAAGGAUGCCUUUCUUUUUUUUUUUUUUUUUUGUGUUUGUUUUUGUUUUGUUUUG